UGUACAAGGCUCUAACCUAAUUGUGGCCAAUGUGGGUGAUUCUCGUGGUGUAAUGUAUGAUUCACGUGGCAUAGCAAUACCAUUGUCCUUUAAUCAUAAGCCGCAAGAGGUGCGUGAACAUAAACGGAUUCAUGAUGCAGGCGUUUUUAUAGACUUUCGUGGAGUUUGAAGUUUGGCUGGUGUAUUGGCCACAUCACGUGCCUUGGGUGAUUAUCCGUUAAAAGAUAAGAAUCUAGUCAUGGCCACACCGGAUAUAUUGACAUUUGAGCUAAAUAAUCACAAACCCCAUUUUCUUAUACUUGCCUCUGAUGGCCUUUGGGAUACAUUUAGCAAUGAGGAAACCUGCCAAAUCAUUCGCCAGGGAAUCGUAUAAGCGUGGAGCUUUGGA